AUACUCACUUUGGCAGCACAUAUACUAAAAUUGGAACAAUACAGAGAAGAUUAGGUACGGCCCCCAUGCAAGGAUGACACACAGAUUUGUGAAGCAUUCCACAUUUAA
ensembl:snRNA U6 U6 spliceosomal RNA